rnacentral:rRNA from 1 species
CCUUUAGUACGGCGAGUGAAGCGGCAAAAGCUCAAAUUUGAAAUCUGGUACCUUCGGUGCCCGAGUUGUAAUUUGGAGAGGGCAACUUUGGGGCCGUUCCUUGUCUAUGUUCCUUGGAACAGGACGUCAUAGAGGGUGAGAAUCCCGUGUGGCGAGGAGUGCGGUUCUUUGUAAAGUGCCUUCGAAGAGUCGAGUUGUUUGGGAAUGCAGCUCUAAGUGGGUGGUAAAUUCCAUCUAAAGCUAAAUAUUGGCGAGAGACCGAUAGCGAACAAGUACAGUGAUGGAAAGAUGAAAAGAACUUUGAAAAGAGAGUGAAAAAGUACGUGAAAUUGUUGAAAGGGAAGGGCAUUUGAUCAGACAUGGUGUUUUGUGCCCUCUGCUCCUUGUGGGUAGGGGAAUCUCGCAUUUCACUGGGCCAGCAUCAGUUUUGGUGGCAGGAUAAAUCCAUAGGAAUGUAGCUUGCCUCGGUAAGUAUUAUAGCCUGUGGGAAUACUGCCAGCUGGGACUGAGGACUGCGACGUAAGUCAAGGAUGCUGGCAUAAUGGUUAUAUGCCGCCCGUCUUGAAAACCGGAAACACA